CUGUCAUAUUUUAUUUAGAUGCAAUGUGUUGUUUCUCUCCAUCUAGCACUUUUUAUUUUCAAUAUAUUCUUUAUUUGUUGCAUCAUUAAAAAGUUUACAGCAAUUCGAAGGAAGGGAGAAUUUCAGAGGCGUCAACAAUGUUUAUAGAUUACCCAUCGCGCCGAAAGAGACGAUUUUCAAGGCCGGCCACACAUUUGCAGGAAUUCCAGCAUAAG